UUGAGCAGUCUCAGUUCGGACUUAAAGGGGUUGUCCGGGAUUGGGGACAUGGGUGUACAUGUACAAUGGUCCCCUAAAUAUUACAUUCAUGCCUGUCCUUCCCUUACCAGACAUUUCUGAUGGCCCUUUUUCACUUCACAAGU